rnacentral:rRNA from 1 species
CCUACGGGAGGCAGCAGUGGGGAAUAUUGCACAAUGGGGGGAACCCUGAUGCAGCGACGCCGCGUGGGUGAAGGAGUACUUCGGUACGUAAAGCCCUAUCAGAAGGAAAGAAAAUGACGGUGCCUGACUAAGAAGCCCCGGCUCACUACGUGCCCGCAGCCGCGGUCAUACGUAGGGGGCAAGCGUUAGCCGGAUUUACUGGGGGUAAAGGGAGCGUAGACGGCAGUGCAAGGCCGGAGGGAAAGGCCGGGGGUCAACCCUGGGACUGCUCUGGAAACUGCAAAGCUGGAGUGCGGGAGGGGCAGGCGGAAUUCCUGGUGUAGCGGUGAAAUGCGUAGAUAUCAGGAGGAACACCGGCGGCGAAGGCGGCCUGCUGGACCGUAACUGACGUUGAGGCUCGAAAGCGUGGGGAGCAAACAGGAUUAGAUACCCGUGUAGUC